UACGUAGGGACCGAGCGUUGUCCGGAUUCAUUGGGCGUAAAGAGCUCGUAGGCGGCUCGGUGCGUCGGCUGUGAAAACCCGCAGCUCAACUGUGGGCUUGCAGCUGAUACGGGCGGGCUGGAGUUCGGUAGGGGAGACUGGAAUUCCUGGUGUAGCGGUGAAAUGCGCAGAUAUCAGGAGGAACACCGGUGGCGAAGGCGGGUCUCUGGGCCGAUACUGACGCUGAGGAGCGAAAGCGUGGGGAGCGAACAGG
rnacentral:rRNA from 1 species